AGUGAUGAUCUACUUCCACUGAGCUUUCAGGCACCAAGCCACCCCUGCCUGCCCUGGUAAUGGGAUGUUUGUGUUCAUUAGUGGCUCUUUUCAUUGUAGCUCUUUCUGAUUCCAGCUAAUUCAACACACGUUUGCAUUUUGAUCUUUUACUGUUUGCAGUGUGAAGAGAGCACCUGCAGCCUACACCGCAGCAGGGUUCACUGAGAGGCAGCACUUUGUUAUCCACAGCAGCUUGGUCCUCAAUUGCCUGAGGUGAUGGUGGCCAGCAGAGCCAUUGCAGAUUUGUCGAUGUGGAAUCGUGAUCAACAUGGGACCCAUUCCUGCCUCUGCCACUGUGAGCCUAGACCACUCACUGCCUCUGUGCCACAGCCUCCACCCCUCUGAAGGGACCAUAAAGCUCACAAGUGACAUCAGUUUGUCUCCUAAAUCCCUGCUUCUUGCCAUUGCCACAGCAGUGAUGUGCGUGUGUGAGGUGUGAGCUGCAACCCCAAAACCGCCUGGAAACUGUACCUACAGCUAUUUGUUUGCAUGUCUUAAGCUGCAGCUUAAGCAGGACCCUUUCCAGCUCACACACACAUAGUUCUUUUUUUAACUUUGCCAUGGCUUUGAGACUAAUACCACUGCUGUUUCAGAACAUAUACUGGGUUUGGACUUGCUCAGCUCCUUCUCGGUUUCCCUGAGGAAUCUGGCGUACCAACGGCCAUGGAAAACCAGGUUAAGCACACAGUAGAGGCUUUCAUGGCCCCUAAUCUUGAUGACAAAAUUAUUUGAACAAACACUUCUUGUGUCACCAAUAUAUAUUAUGUAAAACCUUG